UCCAGACUCCUACGGGAGGCAGCAGUGAGGAAUAUUGGUCAAUGGGCGGGAGCCUGAACCAGCCAAGCCGCGUGAGGGAAGAAGGUACAGCGUAUCGUAAACCUCUUUUGUCAGGGAACAAAGGCGGGGACUAGUCCCCGGAUGAGGGUACCUGAAGAAAAAGCAUCGGCUAACUCCGUGCCAGCAGCCGCGGUAAUACGGAGGAUGCGAGCGUUAUCCGGAUUUAUUGGGUUUAAAGGGUGCGCAGGCGGCCUGUUAAGUCAGCGGUAAAAGCCCGGGGCUCAACCCCGCCCAGCCGUCGGAACUGCCGGGCUAGAGUGGGCGAGAAGUGCGCGGAAUGCGUGGUGUAGCGGUGAAAUGCAUAGAUAUCACGCAGAACUCCGAUUGCGAAGGCAGCGCACCGGCGCCCUACUGACGCUCAGGCACGAAAGCGUGGGUAUCGAACAGGAUUAGAUACCCUCGUAGA
rnacentral:rRNA from 1 species